GUCGGGGUGGCUCAGCCCGGUGGAGCGUCGGACUCAUAGGGAGAGGUCUUGACCAGAUGCUCCUAGGAAAUCCGGAGGUCGCGGGUUCGAACCCCGCCCCCGACA
rnacentral:tRNA from 1 species